UCUGUAUAAUUAUCCCGUAAUCUUCCAUUGUUAUUCCAGCUCUUAAGAUUUGACAAUUUGUAGGACGUGAACAUUUAUCUAAAUCAUGAGUGUUCCAUGGUUGCUCAGGUUCAUUGCUAAGAGGAUAUGAAUCAGACAGGAGACCUGCAAACUUGACAAUGAUGGCUUUCAGAAGGCAUAUUCCAUUGAUUUCAGACCACUCAAUGUACUGCCCGCUGCUGCAUUCCAAGGGGCUCAUUAUAUUUCACCAUUGAAAAGGCAAAUAAUCUCGUAUGCAUCUGGUAACCAAGCUUGUACACUCGUUUACGGAAGGUUCGGAGGAAUGGUCCAAGAAGGCGGUAGAGCUUGAGGAUUCAUGAAGACUUUAGACUUUGGUUGUGGAAUUUCAAAUAUCUGUUUGUCUUAUGUCUUAAUGCAUGCUGGACGCAAAUGGAAGGUGUAUGAGGUGGCAAAGACGGUCUUUGAAAACAAUGACACAGAAACUAGAAAGUCUUUGCAAAGUGAUAAUGGUGUUACAUUUGCUACACUUGGUGAGAACACCAGAUGAUGUCCCUGGAUGUGCUUCUUAGUGCUGGUGUUCCGUGGUGCAGGUAGGAGAUGUAGCAUUGUCCAUAUUUCAAAGUAUGGUAGCCGCUCAUUCAGAUAUAGAUGAUGCUGGAGAGAUUGUUGCACCAACCCCCAGAGUAAAGAGGAUCUUGUCAAGCUCACGUUGUCUUCCACUUAUUGCACAAGCAUUGCUAUCUGGUGAACCGACUAUUGUUGAUGCUGCUGCUGCUCUGCUGAAAGCUACAGUUACUAGGAACCCAAAAGCAAUGAUCCGAUUAUACAGUACAGGCGCAUUUUAUUUUGCUCUGGCUUACGCUGGAUCUAAUCUUCUUUCAAUUGCCCAACUCUUCUCAGUGACUCAUGUUUAUCAAGCUUUUCAUGGUGGUGAGGAAGCUGCAGUUUCCUCUUCUCUACCUUUGGCGAAACGAAGUGUUUUGGGCGGCCUCUUACCUGAGUCAUUGCUUUAUGUACUGGAACGUAGCGGCCCAGUUGCUUUUGCCGCAGCAAUGGUUUCUGAUUCUGACACUCCUGAGAUUAUUUGGACACACAAGAUGCGAGCAAAAUUUGAUCCGUCAAGUAGCCCUGAAUCUGCAACUGGAGUUUGCUACUUGUCUUUCACCCCAAGCAUCUUUUGUUAACAUUUAGUAUUUACAUUCUAAAACAUGGUGGUAGUUGAGUCAUCCUCAAUGCAAAUAAGUGCUGCAUUUAACUCUCAGUUUUAUUUGAUUAGGUUCUUCAGCAUCUUGGUGAUUUCCCUCAGAAAUUGUCACAGCAUUGUCAUUCCUUAUAUGACUAUGCUCCAAUGCCACCAGUGACAUAUCCAGAGCUGAAGGAUGAAAUGUGGUGUCAUCGUUAUUAUUUCGAAACUUAUGUGAUGAAAUUAGAUUUCCUAAUUGGCCUAUUGUUGAACAUGUUGAGUUUUUGCAAUCAUUGCUAGUAAUGUGGAGAGAAGAGUUAACUCGAACGCCAAUGGACCUUUCUGAAGAAGAAGCUUGCAAGAUACUAGAGAUUUCCAUUGAUGAAGUAUCCAGAGACGACGCCCCUAAGAAACCAAGUUUUGAGUCAGUUGAGGAGAUACCUAAUAUAUCAAAGCAGAUUGAGUAUAUUGAUGAGGAAAAGCUCAAGAGACAGUAUAGGAAACUUGCAAUGAAGUAUCAUCCAAACAAAAAUCCUGAAGGGAGGGAGAAGUUUCUGGCAGUGCAGAAAGCUUAUGAGUGCUUGCAGGUGACCAUGCAAGGAUUGCAAGGUCCUCAGACUUGGAGGUUGUUGCUUCUCUUAAAGGGCCAGUGUAUUCUGUAUAGGCGAUAUGGGAAUAUAUUGAUGCCAUUCAAAUAUGCUGGAUAUCCUAUGCUCUUAAGUGCCAUUACAGUGGACAAGGAUGAUAACAAUUUUCUUUCCUCUGAUCAGCACAUCUUCUAGUUGCAUCCCCCGAGCUUGUUUGGUUGAUGUGCGAGUCUUCACCAUUCAAUGGUGAAGAGCUUGUGAGAGAUGGUGGAAUACCUUUUCUUGCAACCCUCCUUUCCUGUUGCAUGUGUGUGGUCCAACCAGCAACUCCUGCCACUGAACCGUCUGCUACUAUUGUUGCUAGCAUAAUGCGAACCUUUUCAGUUUUGAGUCAAUUUGAAAGUGCGAGAACUGAGAUGCUCGAAUUUUCAGGAUUAGUUGAUGACAUUGUUCAUUGCACUGAACUUGAGCUUGUUCCUGCUGCUAUUGAUGCUGCCCUGCAGACCAUUGCUCACCUUUCUAGCUCCUCUGAAAUUCAAAAUUCCCUUUUGAAGGCUGGUGUACUGUGGUACCUUAUACCAUUGUUGCUCCAAUAUGAUUCGACGGCGGAGGAAUCAGAUAAGACAGAUGCACAUGGUGUUGGAACUAGCGUUCAAAUAGCAAAAAAAUACAUGCUGUAAAAGCAUCUCAUGCCUUGUCAAGGCUUUAGUGGUUUGGUUGACGAGGAGAUCCCGACACCCUACAAUCAGGCUGCAGCUGAUGCCCUUAGAGCUUUACUAACCCCUAAACUUGCAAGCAUGCUGAAAAAUAAAUUAGCAAAAGACCUCCUAUUCACAUUAAACUCAAACUUGGAGUCCCCUGAGUUACAUUUGCUAUACAUGGUGAGAAGACCACAAUGAUGUUCCCGGAAGUGCUUUAGUAUUGGUGUUCCGUGGUGCAGCAUAAGGAUUGGCGGGUGAUGAAUACAGUUGUUGAACAAAACCUUCCAGCCAAAAGGGUAAGAAUAGAUUCAUCCUCAUACACUCUCAUUUAUUAUUUAAAAAGGUAUAUAAUUGAAAUAAUACAUAAGUGGUGUUCACACUUUUAUUAUGGUAUAAUAUAAUAAUAUAUAUAACUGUAAAUGAAAAGCAUAGUAAGUUAUUGUGUGUAUUAUAAAUUUGUAAAUGAUUAGCUAUUAUAUUUCUUCAUUUAUGACU